rnacentral:rRNA from 1 species
AUCCAGAGGGUGCGAGCGUUAAUCGGAAUUACUGGGCGUAAAGCGCGCGUAGGCGGCUUAUUAAGUCAGAUGUGAAAUCCCCGGGCUCAACCUGGGAACUGCAUCUGAUACUGGUAAGCUAGAGUUUUGGAGAGGGAAGUAGAAUUUCAGGUGUAGCGGUGAAAUGCAUAGAGAUCUGAAGGAAUACCAGUGGCGAAGGCGACUUCCUGGCCAAAAACUGACGCUGAGGUGCGAAAGCGUGGUAGCAAACGGGAUUAGAAACCCCAGUAGUCC